rnacentral:rRNA from 1 species
GACGAACGCUGGCGGCGUGCUUAACACAUGCAAGUCGAACGGAAAGGCCCUGCUUUUGUGGGGUGCUCGAGUGGCGAACGGGUGAGUAACACGUGAGUAACCUGCCCUUGACUUUGGGAUAACUUCAGGAAACUGGGGCUAAUACCGGAUAGGAGCUCCUGCUGCAUGGUGGGGGUUGGAAAGUUUCGGCGGUUGGGGAUGGACUCGCGGCUUAUCAGCUUGUUGGUGGGGUAGUGGCUUACCAAGGCUUUGACGGGUAGCCGGCCUGAGAGGGUGACCGGCCACAUUGGGACUGAGAUACGGCCCAGACUCCUAUGGGAGGCAGCAGUGGGGAAUAUUGCACAAUGGGCGGAAGCCUGAUGCAGCAACGCCGCGUGCGGGAUGACGGCCUUCGGGUUGUAAACCGCUUUCGCCUGUGACGAAGCGUGAGUGACGGUAAUGGGUAAAGAAGCACCGACUAACUACGUG